GUACACUCCUGCGGGAGGCAGCAGUGGGGAAUAUUGCACAAUGGGCGCAAGCCUGAUGCAGCCAUGCCGCGUGUAUGAAGAAGGCCUUCGGGUUGUAAAGUACUUUCAGCGGGGAGGAAGGCGAUAAGGUUAAUAACCUUGUCGAUUGACGUUACCCGCAGAAGAAGCACCGGCUAACUCCGUGCCAGCAGCCGCGGUAAUACGGAGGGUGCAAGCGUUAAUCGGAAUUACUGGGCGUAAAGCGCACGCAGGCGGUCUGUCAAGUCGGAUGUGAAAUCCCCGGGCUCAACCUGGGAACUGCAUUCGAAACUGGCAGGCUAGAGUCUUGUAGAGGGGGGUAGAAUUCCAGGUGUAGCGGUGAAAUGCGUAGAGAUCUGGUGGAAUACCGGUGGCGAAGGCGACCCCCUGGACAAAGACUGACGCUCAGGUGCGAAAGCGUGGGGAGCAAACAGGAUUAGAUACCCGAGUAGUCCCAUGA
rnacentral:rRNA from 1 species